AUUUCUGUCACACACUGGCCAUGGCGAUUGUAGUCAAGCAAGACCUACAACUAUUCAAUGGUUUUUCUGAGAGAAAAAUGAUUACGAGCCUUUCAA